UGACCGUCGCUGUGUCACAAGGUCACGUGAUCCCUUUUUGCAAUCUCCUCAUAAACAAAGUCAAUGGGGAAGCCAGGUUACUAAUGUAUCAAACUACAGUGAUUCACGUAACGACCAAGGCGAGAAAGGGGGUGAAAUGGGGCAAAAUUCUCACUUGGCAAAUGCCUCACUUAACAACAAAAAUUUGGGUCUUAGUUGUGGAUGCUGACUAUCGAUCGAUGACUACCUGUAAAAGGUCGGUUUUCAGUGGUCCCCAUCAAGUUUUAUGUCGUAGAAUCAAUGGGCUACAAUUGGCUACACUUCUCUACCAGUCAUCUUACAACCAGAGGUGUGUAUUCAGCAGGUUCUGACCAGUUCUGGAGAACCGGUAGCAGAAAUUUUGAGCAGUUUGGAGAACUGGCAAAUCCCGCCUCUGACUGGAGAUUUUACAGUAUCCUUCCCCUGCCAUGCCCACCAAGCCAUGCCCACACAACCGGUAGUAAAAAAAAUUGAAUCCCACCACUGCUUACAACAGUUUACAGAGUUACCUUGAAUAAUGGGUGCUUUAUAACUCACAAAGCACUUCUGGUUGUCCUAAAAUGUCAUUUCCUCCCCCCACACCCAAGGUCCCAUGAUACCUCUACCUUUAUUGAUUGGUUGCAGUGUCCCGUGGUCACGUAACUGCAAUUUUACAAUUUUUUUGCUAGUUUCUGGCGACAAAAAAAAAAAAAACACCAUUCAGAAAAAUGGGUUCCCUUAACAAGACUCACUUAAUGACUGUGGUGAUUCACCUAAUGACUGCUGUGAAAAACUGUUGCAGUCACAUAAAUGCCUCAACUCAACGACCAGAUUUCUAGUCUCAUUUGUUAUAGGUUGGAGAGCCCUGCAGGCAGGGCUAUACAAUUAAAAAAACCUAUCUUUCUUUCAAAUAUUAUGGGUCGCUACGUGUGCAGGACAGUUCUUUACCCCAAAUAUGUUCCUAGUGAACCUUUUCAUUUUCCUCUCACAGAAGUGAGGAACUGGCAAUUGGAAGAAAAAAUUAAAAAUAAAAUGCUGUACUUUUAAUGUGACGGCUAAAUUUUGGUGAUACCUAUAUCCAUUCCCAGCCGAAUCCAUCAUUUUUCUGACGUGAUCAUUUAAGGUCCAUCCUCUUUGCAGGAAUGAAGGGUGAAGAAGAAAGGAUAGUGCUUCUAGUUUGUUUUGGCUCUAAGAGUGGCUCGAAAUUUAGGUGUCGAACAGUAUUUUACUCCGAAGAUUUAAAUCUUAGGAGGCCGUGUACGGCAUGCUAGGAACCAAUGUUGAUUCCAGCUGGUAGAAGUGUCCAUAAGAGAUCAAAAAACUAAAAACCUUGGUUUAUUUAUCCCUGGAUGUCUCUGCCAACAAAAUAAAGGAUACAAGUGCAAAAGGUUGUUGAAUUUAUGGAUCUUGGUAGGAAUCUAUGUAUCAAUUCAAGAGGAAAUCCUGAAAGGGAUUUCUGCCUGCAUUUCUUUCCCCAAGGAAGAAAAGUGCAUGCAGCUAUUAUCCCUUUUAAUGAUUUCUGACUAGAGAUCUAACACAACACUGCUGUGCUGCUUAUUCCCUUCUUAACUACUGUUGGAGCUUUCAUUUUGGCUUCUCUUCUGAGAGUGAAACAAUCUUCCUUUAGCGUAUGCAGUAAGUUACCUUUUUCACAUAAGUUGGAUUUUUUAUAGUGUUAAGUCUUUGCUAUAUCUUGCAUUUUGGACAGCGGAAGAAUUCUGUGAAGCACUUUUACUUGGGUGAAGAACAAAAUCAGAUCACUUUUUAUAUUUAAGAUACCACCAAAAAAAAUUUUUUUAGUCUUGUGAUCCAGCAGAAAGUCUAGCUUUCCCCGUUCCAUCCUGCUCUGUGUAGAGACACACCAAUAUACUGA